rnacentral:rRNA from 1 species
AUUAAACGCUGGCGGCAGGCUUAACACAUGCAAGUCGAGCGGGGAAAGGUAGCUUGCAACCUGACCUAGCGGCGGACGGGUGAGUAAUGCUUAGGAAUCUGCCUAUUAGUGGGGGACAACAUUCCGAAAGGAAUGCUAAUACCGCAUACGCCCUACGGGGGAAAGCAGGGGAUCUUCGGACCUUGCGCUAAUAGAUGAGCCUAAGUCAGAUUAGCUAGUUGGUGGGGUAAAGGCCUACCAAGGCGACGAUCUGUAGCGGGUCUGAGAGGAUGAUCCGCCACACUGGGACGGAGACACGGCCCAGACUCCUACGGGAGGCAGCAGUGGGGAAUAUUGGACAAUGGGCGAAAGCCUGAUCCAGCCAUGCCGCGUGUGUGAAGAAGGCCUUUUGGUUGUAAAGCACUUUAAGCGAGGAGGAGGCUACUUGGAUUAAUACUCUAGGAUAGUGGACGUUACUCGCAGAAUAAGCACCGGCUAACUCUGUGCCAGCAGCCGCCGUAA